AGAUCAUAUCAAACAAUACUGAUUAUUUCUUAAAAUAUAUUAGUUUAGCUGAUAAAGGCGGCAGCACUGAAAUAACGAUCCUGAAUUUUUCUAUGACUUUCAACUUCGAGUCACGUAAGUAAUGGGAGUGAAACCAAACCCAGCUUCACACACUUUAAGUGAGAAAGUUAGUUCUUCGAUAGGUUUUAAAAGAUAAGUGGAAACAAAGAGGCAGCAAUAUUUCUAGAAAAUAUCCUCUAGGGCUAGGUCAUAGCUCUAUGCUACUUAAUAUUUUAGCAAAAUGAAAGAAAAGAAAAAUAAUUUCAGAUAAAUUAUACAGGUUUGGGAAUAAUACUGUGAAAUAAAGAGGUGAAAUAACUGUUCCUCUAACUAUGCAAAUAAGGGUACGCAUAAAUAAUAAAUUUUGAAAGAUACUACCGAAGGAAAAAGAAAAAUCAAUGGGAUAAAAAUGAGAGAGAACACAAGUUCAGUAAAGACAGAUGAGAAGGAGUUUGAAAACAUCUUCUCAGGAUGAGGACUUCAAAUCUUGACAGAAGUGGAAGAGAGCAUUCAGUCAGCAAUUCACUGCUCUGGGAAAUUCUCCUUCUUCCAGGCCAAAGCAGGAGGAGGCAUUAAACAGAUGAAGGCAAAGGAAAAAAAAAAAAAAAACUGUAAUUCAGAUGGGCUCACAGGAGAGGGG